CCUUUCAAUGGCCUUCCUCAUGUUCUCUCAGGCUGCUCCGCAGCCUCUCCACCAUUUUCUUGCCUUGGGAACCAGGUGAGCAGCAGUCACACAUGGUACUUUCCAGGCCUCCUCUCACCUAUGGCUUAGGUAGUGCUCUGGCAGCCCCAGGGAUCCCCCAUCUGGCUGCUGAAGCUUGCAGUCUACUGGGAGGUAGUUCCUGCAGCUCCAAGCAGGUGCAGAGAGCUGGAAAGACCUGCCAUUCCAGAGCCUGCUCAGGGUUACUGAGUGACUUAGUCUCUGCAUGUGACAGCUGGUGAAUCAGAAUCUCCUGAGGGGCUCUGUCUAGAUCAGAUCUGACCAUGGACAGCAAGUGAAUGACAAGCCAUCCCCUGCUCACUCUGGGCUGACAUGGCAGCCGAGCAUGCUGUUAAUUUUGCUGUUUACAGAAAGAAGUCCGGGCUGACUCUGCGCUCCAGCUCCAGCAUUUAUGACCUCACUCGUCCCUGCAACCUUGCCACAGAGCAUCUGCUUGUCUCUCUGCUUCGCACAGGGAAACCCAGGUUCCAGAGACAGGUGAUCUGCUCUGCUUGUCCUCAUUGGUGUCAACAGGACUCCAACCACGUCUCCCAUCUCUGGACCUUGCGUGGGACGGGCACACCCUAGCUCUCCCUCUGCUGUGCUUAUUACAUUUCCUAACUGGCAAAUUUCAUAUGUAA